rnacentral:rRNA from 1 species
AUUGGAGUCUGGAAUGAAUGGUUUGAUGAGAAAUUGACUUUCUUUAUAUUAAAUAUAAAAUUUAUCUUUUGAGUCAAAAGACUUAAUUUUUGGUAUAGGACGAGAAGACCCUAUAGAAUUUCAUCAUUCUAUAAAUAAUUAUUUAUUUGUAAAUAAUUUUUUUUUAUUUAUAGAAUGAUUUUGUUGGGGUGACAAAAAAAAAUUAAUAACUUUUUUUCAUUAUUUCAUUAAUUUAUGAGUUUUUGAUCCUUUAUUAUGGAAAUAAGACUAAAUUACCUUAGGGAUAACAGCGUUAUUAUUUUAGAGAGUUCUUAUCGAUAGAAUAGUUUGCGACCUCGAUGUUGGAUUAAAAUUAGUUUCAGGGGUAAAAGAUUGAUUAUCUAGGUCUGUUCGACC